CUCCUCUCCUGGCCAAUCCUAUAAAAGGAUGGGCUUGGCUCAUAAACCAAUCAGAGACCCCCAAGGGGGCGGAGUUUUCUUUGGCCUGGAUCUCUGCCUGAGGGGUAAAACUAAAACGUUUCCACCUCCAGCCAAUCCCAGAGAAGGCAGGAGCGCACUCCUCCAAUGGGAGCCCGAGAGCGGUCAGUGGCCGUGGAGGCCUGCUACCCCCGCUAGCUCUCCAGCCCGCCGGAGGGACGCUAGAUCCAGCCGCCGGCCCCUUGAAUCUGCUCCCCCUCGGCAGCGGUGGCGCGGAGGGCAGGAGGUGUCUGGUGAGACGGUCAGCGGGUAUCGGAGGAUCGUGCGGGUAGCAAAGGGAUGGCGAGUGCCCCUGCAGCCCCAGACAACAACCAGGUGUCCUUUUUCUCUGGAUGCUUUGAAGAUCCUUCUUUGAUUAUUGCUUGAUGCUAAAAGCUUUUUUUUAAUUUAUUUUUUAUUGGUGUUCAAUUUACUAACAUACAGAAUAACCCCCAGUGCCCGUCACCCAUUCACUCCCACCCCCCGCCCUCCUCCCCUUCUACCACCCCUAGUUCGUUUCCCAGAGUUGAUGCUAAAAGCUUUUUGUUGUCAUUCUCUAUAUGUUCCUUUAUUUAUGAAUGGAAAAAGUUCCCCCAUUGCUUUUCUAGGCAAUUAUUAAAAUAGAUAAUGGUUAUUGACUUCUAUACAUUUAACUUAUAAGCCACCUCAUGAGUAUAUUCAUUUUAAUGCAUUUUUCUCAUCAGAACCUUUUGGGCUUCCUGGGCAUAAAAUAAUAUCAGCAACAAAUAGGUUUUUUAUCUCUGCUUUUCUAGUGUUAUACCAGUCACCUCAUUUUUUUGCCCUACUGUUCCUUUAUAGCUUCCAAGACAAGGUUGAGUAUAUGGUAGUAGCAGGUAGUCCUGUUUUGUUCCUGAUAAUUUUGAUCAUCUGAUAAAUGUUCCAGUGAAUAUUUGUUGAGAGGCCAUGUUCUAGGGCCUGAGAAUACCGAGGGGAUGAACCUUUCUUUUUAGAGCUUCCUGAUCUUGCUUCAUGAAUGCAGUAUUUUUUCAUGUCACUCUGAGGACAUUAAAUCCUCAGUCUUCAGUCCAAGUCUUUGUUUCCAAAUAUGUAUAUUUGGGUGUCAGCAGCAGUGGGAAACUCACUGAUGUCAGAUUUGACCUGAGGCACCAGAGAUUCCAAAGACACGAUAUAUUCUGAAGUCUUAGAGUUUGUAUAAAUAGUAGGGGUGGGAAGGGGCCCCUCUCCUAGUGUGCAAGUACAGAACAGUGCCACACUUCUGUCACUCGAGACCUUAGUAGUGCAGUGGAUUCUGGCGCAGACUGCCUGGAAUCAAAUUCCAGAUCUGUCAUUUCAUAGGGGAGGCAGGGGACUUCUUUAUUUGUAGUUUCACCUGUAAAAAUGAGGGUAAUAACAGUACUUAUUUCAUAGGGUGGUUGAGGGUAUUAAAUGAGUUAAUUUAGAAUAGUGUCUGACACACAGUGAGUCCAAGUCCAGCUCUCUAUGUGUUUGCUAUUAUUACCAUCAUUACUUUUGCGCUUGAAGGGAGUAGAAUUUCUUUUUUCUUUUUUAAAGAUUUUAUUAUUUUUUCAUGAGAGACACACAGAGAGAGAGGCAGAGACAUAGGCAGAAGAAGAAGCAGGCUCCAUGCAGGGAGCCCGACGUGGGACUCAAUCCUGGGACUCCAGGAUCACACCCUGAGCCAAAGGCAGACGCUUAACCGCUGAGCCACCCCAGGCAUCCCGAAGUAGAAUUUCUUUAGUGCAAUGAGAAAAGCAGAGAGUGUAUCCUGUCCUGUGUGUUCUCCCAGUGUCUUGGAGACAAAGGUCAUUCACAAAAACCACAAAGUCAAGAAUUUGAAGCAGUGUUUUGGGCACCUGAGGGUGUGGGAUAUCAAAUUCAUUAGGUAGAAUGGGAUAGGAUUCCUCAGUGGGAAGACAGGAAGUAGUGUAUUUAAGGGUGGACCCCUCUUGAGAAGAUGACCUAUAUUGGCUGUUUCCUUAGUGCAGAGCAAUACCAAGUGGGGGAACAGUGACAGUGAGGCGUUAUUUCAGGGCAAGGGAUUUCUUAAGCAUUUAAUAAUGCUUUUCUUUUCAGAACAAACCUGUCAGGUACUGAGAGGCUUUAAAGGGUGUGAUAGCUCUUCAGACUGAGAACCUGCAUCUGUUGAGGGGCAAGGCUGCUGCCAGGAUUUGAUUCAUGCUUCCAGAGGUAGGACUUGCCAAUCAGAAAUGCUUUCAGUCUCUGUCUUAAAUUUUCUGGGACCCUCUCUGAGUUUGGGAAAAGUCUCAGACUUAGUAACCAUCCCAGACAAGAUCUGGAGGAUUUGGACGGGACGAGGGGUUCAUACUGAAGAUAAGUACUUGGUGGUGAGGCAAAUUUGAAGAAACAGUAUCAAAAGUGAAAGUUCAAGAGAUGCAAAAAAUGGGUUUUUUUUUUUUUUGGAGAGAGAGAGAAAGAACGAGCGAGAGAGAAUCUCGAGCAGGAUCCACACCCAGCCUGACAUGGGGUCUGAUCCCAUGACCCUAAGAUCAUGACCUGAACUGAAAUCAAGAGUCAGAAUCUCAACUGACGGGGCCACUUAGGUACCUCAAGAGAUGCAAAAAUUUUAACUAACACUUUAUCAAAUCAAAUUGAACAUUAUAUACUACAUGUUGGCAAAUCGAACUUCAUUUAAAAAAUUUUUUUAAUUGAACAGUAUAGGGCAGUCUGGGUGGCUCAGCGGUUUAGCGCCUGCCUUCAGCCCAGGGCAUGAUCCUGGAGUCCCGGGAUUGAGUCCCUUGUCGGGCUCCCUGCAUGGAGCCUGGUUCUCCCUCUGCCUGUAUCCCUCUGCCUCUCUCUCUGUGUGUCUCUCAUGAAUAAAUAAAUAAAAUCUUUUUUAAAAAUUGAACAGUAUAUUAGUAAGAUAGGAUAUCAUGACCAAGUGGGGUUUAUCUCAGGAAUACAGGGUGGGUUUAACAUUGGAAAAUCAGUGCAAUUCACCAUGUCAAUAAACCAAGACAAGAAAAACCCAUAUGAUCAUUGCAAUAAUGCAGAAAAGCAUUUGACAAAUCCCAAUAUCCAUUUCUGAUUAAAAAAGAAAAGAACCACUUGGCCAACUAAGACUGAAAAGGAGCUUCUUCCACCUGAUUCAGGGCAUCUAAAAAAUCCCACAUCUAACAUCAUAUUUAGUAAUGAAAGACUGAAUGUUUUUUUCCCCAAGAUCAAAAAUAACACAGGGGUGUCCAUUCUCACUACUUCUAGUCAACAUUGUACUGGAGCUUCUCACCAGUGCAAUGAGGCAAGCAAAAGAAGUAAAAGGCACCCAGAUUGAAAUGGAGGAAGUAAAACUGUAUUUAAAGAUGAAAUGAUCAUCUGUGUAGAAAAUCCAAUUGUAUCUACCAAAAAAGCAACAAAAAGCCCUUCUAGAACUAAUAAAUGAAUCCAGCAAGCUGCAAGAUACAAGAUCAAUAUACAUAAAACAAUUAUUAUACCAAAUGUAUAUAGCAAUGAACAACUAGACAUAAGGAUUUUUAAAAUUCCAGAUUUUUAAAAUUCCAGUUCCAGUUUAAAAUUCAUAUCUAAAAAUGUGAAUUAGGAAUAAAUUUGACAAAAUCUGUGAAAGACGUGUACACCUGUAUUGCUAAGAGAAAGAACAAAGAACAAAAUGAAUGGAAAGGAAUAUCUUGUUCACUCAUUGGAAAACUCAGUAUUGCUAACAUGUCGAUUCCUUCUAACAGCUCUAUAGAUUCAACAUAAUACCUAUAAAAAUCUCAGCAGGCUUUUUUUUUUUCAGAAUUUGACAAGCUGAUCCUAAAAUUUGUAUGAAAAUACAAGGGCACCACACAGAAGCCUUGGUUAGGAUCCAGCCUUCCCAUGGGAUCAGGAUAAUGAAAGGAGCCCACAUAGAGAGGGAAAACACUGGAGGGGCCUCCACAAACAGGUCUAUAAAGGAUAUGAACAAGCAGUUUCCUGAAAUUAAAAUCCAAAAAAAGCUAAUGGGCAGAAGAAAAGAUGCUCAAAUGCAUUAGUUAUCAGAGAAAUACAAGACAAAACUACAAUGAGAUUUCACUUAAGGUCUCAUAGGUCCCUCAACAUUUUAAAAAGUUGAAUCGUGCCAAAUCCUGUGGUGGGAAUGCAGGGGCAUAGGGACCCCCAUGCACUUGUAGAAACUUUGGCAGUCAUCCCAUUGCUGAAUGUGGCAGUACACAGUCAAAUUCAUUACCCCCGUGGACUCAAGAAAUUCUCACACAGAUCCAUAAAGGGUAAUGCAGGAGAAUGUUCAUUAUGGUGUGGUUUGCAAUGGUAGGGAGGCAUUCUGGGUGCCCAUCACAGGGGAGUGCAAAGGGAAAUAGUGAAGAAUGCACUCUAUAGCCUUUCAGCAGUUAGAUCAGUGAGUUAGAUAUACACAGAGCAAUACUGAUGAUCUCCAGCACAUAGCACUGGGCAGAAAAAACUAAACCAUAUAACAAAAUACUAUUGACGCCUAACUCUGGGAAACGAACUAGGG
rnacentral:lncRNA from 1 species